rnacentral:rRNA from 1 species
GGAUCAGGUAGGAAUACCCGCUGAACUUAAGCAUAUCAAUAAGACGGAGGAA